UACGAAGGGGGCUAGCGUUGUUCGGAAUUACUGGGCGUAAAGCGCACGUAGGCGGGUCGUUAAGUCAGGGGUGAAAUCCCGGAGCUCAACUCCGGAACUGCCUUUGAUACUGGCGAUCUAGAGAUCGAGAGAGGUGAGUGGAAGUCCGAGUGUAGAGGUGAAAUUCGUAGAUAUUCGGAAGAGCACCAGUGGCGAAGGCGGCUCACUGGCUCGAUACUGACGCUGAGGUGCGAAAGCGUGGGGAGCAAACAGG
rnacentral:rRNA from 1 species